UGUUGCAGUAUGAUGAGUUCUUGAAAUAAACUGCGUUAUCGUACCUAGGCCAGUUUAACUACUGGUUUGAAGAGGAUAAACAUUAACAUACAAACUCUGACUGCAUAUA